AAAACCGGUUCCCGUAUGAUCACCGGAGUUAAGCAACGUCGAGCAUGGUAAGUACCUUGUUGGGUGACCACGUGGGAAUAACAG